GGCUCAGUGGCGGAGUGGUCCGCGUCUGCACAACAUAAAGUUGGUCUAGUGCAUUUACGCAGAAAAAUGACGCUUGUUCGAAUCAAGCCUGAGCCA